CCAGCAUUUAUGUGCUAUUUUGAAGGUGUGAGCAAGAUUGCCUUCUUCAACAACUCAUAAUUGAUGAGAUUCCAUUAAGACUGAAUGACAUUUUCAGAAAACCUGGAAGGAUAACACAGAUGACCUUUAAAAAGCAAAAAGCAGUUUGCCAAGUAUCUGUUAUGAGAAUGAAGGCCCUUGGACACUAGAUUCUACAGUGAAAUCAAUUUUCUUGUUAUCAAACCACUGAUACACUUAGAGAGCCGGCUGCUUAUAUCAUCCGACAUUUUAACAUCAGUUUGAGAGGUAUUGUGGCCUGCGAAAUCUGUAUUUUAUUUCUGAUACAGUGAGUUCAACUCCAUAUUUCGGUUUCUUCUUUUAACCUCUGCUAAGCCAGUUUGGACAGGUGUAGAGGAGAAAAAAAAAAAAGAGGGGGUGGGGGGGAAGUCUGUUCAAACACCAAACAAGCUCACAGUAUGUCCAUUUAGCACUUAGUCUAUGGAAUUUCAACCUCAGCUGAAGCUUCUCUAUGCUUCCAUGACAUGGCUCAUUCUCUGUUCAUUAAAAUUAGGAGAAAAAUAUAUUGACGUUUGUUUAGAGUGAAGAAAGAAAAAUGAAACAAUAUUUAAUGAGUCUAACAAAGUGGGCCACUUUUAACCAGAAGCCUUGUGAAGAGUGGGAGUUAAUGUUUUCAUCAAAAUAAGGAGAAAUUCAAGUACACUCUCAUUCCAAGAGAGCUGUCAAAUAGAUCUAUUUCUUGGAAAUAACAUGUGGGGAGAGGCUUGGUACUACAUGAUCUGAAGAUCUAAUUUAUAAAUCCUUACAGAGUCAAGGACUUGAGUACUGUGAACUACUUAAUUUAGGCUGGAAUUUAAAAUAUAUUUGGAAAAAACUUGUCUUUCUAGGAAAAAAAAAAAAAAAAACAAACUGGCACUACUGGAAUAAGAAUUUGAGGAGGUCUUCAACAUCUAAAAUUUGGAAUUAGGUUAAUGUAAGUUUCUCCGUCAUGAACCCUAUUGUGUAGCUUUUUACUGUAUCUUAGGAUAAAUGUUUUUGUCAGGUAAGUGUAGCCAGUUUCUUAACAUGUUUAUCUCUCUUUGUAUGUAGCAGAUCAGUUCUGAUUAAGCCAGAGAUUAAGAUUUUUAUAGAAUAUGGUUCUCAAAAAUGGCAUCAGGUCCUACUAAUAUAUCGUUUUCUAUGUCAACUAUGAAUACUCUUGCCAGUUGUUAAAAACUGCUUCUCAAAGACUGCCAGAAGUUAGCAGAAUUUAGAAGAUAAUAUAGUUCUAAACUAUUUUGUAGUAGAAUGCAGCAUAUGUUAGAUUUUGAAGUUGUGUUAUUCUAUACUAAUUCAGUCUAGAAGGAUUGUCUAAAUCUUAAAUAAAUGCUAAUAAUGAUAGAAUGUAGCAAGAGACUGAAAGCAUAAUGUCUCAAACAUUGAUGCAAAACCAGUUCUGCAACAUCCAGCCACAGGAGAUGGGACAUGACUAGAGGCAGGAGUUGGGACAUCAAGAUAAAUUUACAUGUCAAGGACAAGCUAACAAGCCCCAGACAAAGGCUGGUACAGAAGGCUGGUACAGAAGGUGGAGGACCUGUUAAAGAACAUGCAGCUCCAUGUGCUGACAGGCCUGUCAUGGCAACAAAGAAGAUCCCAGACCACUCAAGAUCCUUCGAGACCCUUCAAGAUCACCCAAGACACUUUGGGACUAUGUGAGCAGGUGAUCCAUGGGACUAUUCUUUCCCUCCUAGAUUUCUAUUCUUUUGCUCUCCAUUUUAUAAGUAAUAUAGUAAUGUAAGGUUUACAGCUCUACACAGGUUGCAAAUUUUUUAUGUUUACCAAUUGAGACUAAAAAACCUUAAUCCUUCUGCCAGGAAAUCAUUUGCCAAUUGGGCCAAGCUGCAAAAUAGAAGUCUUCUGUUUACAGACCUUAAGAAUAGUGUACACUCUUUUCUGACCAAAGGGACCGAAGAAUCUGAGUCUCAUCUCUAUUUGUAAGCUUUAAAAUGUAAAAGCUCCACUUCAGGCUCCAUUAUAAAAUCCUAUAUUUAGAAAGCUUAGUUGACUGAAGUAGGAGGGAGUUUUCUUAAAGGAGAUACAUGGAUGCCCUGUCCCAAAUAAUAAUGGAUUUACUUAAAAAUUAUCAUUUGGGGUAGACGUUUGUGGUGUCUACAAGACAGAAAAAUGUAUUAUCUAGGUUUUGUUUUACCAUACUAUUACCAUAAUUUUCUGCAUCCAUUCUGCCACUGUUGUAGCUAAUUUAAUCUAGGUAAUUUGGUAUGUUAUAAAGUGUUCUACCCAGAGACCCCCAUAAAUUAAGUCUCUUUUUUGAUUCAUCUUUGGUUCAAUUUCCAUUAUUUGUUUAUUAGAUAUCUAAGGUCAUGAUCCUGAAUGGAAAGGCACACAGUCACUGGAAGUCACUCCUAUGUGAAGCAUUGUGGGGUGAGAUUUAAUUUCAAGAACUUCAUGGUAACAGAGUAUUUUUAUAUGUAUCCAAUAGAACCAUAGGAUAUCCGGGGCUGUCUACAGAUUUUUCUGAAAAGAAAAGGAAUUAUUUCCAUGUGUAUAUUUAUUUCUCUGACUUCAAAUAGCACCUUUAAUGUUCAAGUUUGGUAGGGACAUAGGAGUGUUUAAGGGAUAUUUUUCCUGUGGGUUUCUUCUCUGUGGAUGGUAAAUCUCAAUACACUCCUCAAUGCCAGUAAGGCUACAAAAUGGCAGUAAAAGAAGCUCAGCUGUGAACACUUUACCCACACUAUAUAAACUAUUCAUCUGACCUACAGCUGGUGAACAUUCUAGUACACUGCAGGGGAUCCCUAGUGCCAGCCUGCAGACCCAGCAAACACCAUUCCCACCUGCAGCAGCACUGCAGAAUGUAAUGAAGACGUUACACAUUAAGGAAAAGAUUAUACCCUGGGGCAAGAAAAUGUUGAAACAAUCACUGUAGGAGUGUUUUGGUUUUGUUUUGUAUUUUAAGUGGUGAGUUUGUUCUAUUAAGUAGUUGGAACAUUUAGCUUGUACAUUUCCAUUGUGGAAAUACCACUGUGGUUAGCACAGAAGAAGGGAAAUAGUCUAGCUAGGUUUGACAUAUCCCCUGCAACUUUUCAUUCUCAACCUCAAGUUAUACAAAAUAAUGUUUAUUACAAUUACAUUGCAAUCUAUUUGAAUUUAUUUUUUUUAAUGCUAAUGAUUUUUUAAACUGCUCUCUUAAUUAAGUGCAUGUCAGGAUGAAGACUGCAUAUUCUGCCUGCUUUCAGAUAGCAUUUUAAACAUAACAGUGUCCCUUUCGAAGUUAAACAAGCCUUCUUCUGAGACACUUCUUGGGAUGCUGUAUCAGACGAAGGAAGAAAGGAGAAGCAGAACCUCGUCUGUGUGUGUGUGGUACACAUUACAAAACACGGAUCUUCAUAAGUUACUGGAUGGAGUUAACCUGCUACUCAAAGUGUUCUACCUCUGAUGUGUCAUUUCUCGGCGCCUUCGGAAACACAUUUGCUGCUUUAACAGGCCACAGAGAAUGGCUUAUCUGGACCAGUGCCUAGUUUUGGAGUCAGCUUGCACAGAUGAUACUUGGAUUUGUGAAAAAAAUCAUGGGAGGCAUGAAGAAGAAAUGCAUUGCUUGUUGCCCUGGCUUAAGAAUCCUUAAUAAGAACAACAAAAGACAAAUUGGUGAGUGCUCAGAAACCAAUUCUCCUCCUCAAACAAUUCUAGAAACCAAAUGAACUUUCAGAACAAGUGAAGUUU